GCGCCCUCUUCUGUGUACAUAAUAAAUAAAUCUUUAAAAAAAAAAAAAAAAAAAAAAAAAAAAAAAAAAAAGAAAUGCUUAUGCUUGGGUUCUGCCUGGGUGUCAGCUCGGUAGGAACACUUCCUGUUGUUCCCUGGGAAGUCCUGAUGUCCUGUUUUAUCACGCAGCUUGUGCCAAGCCCCGGCAUAAGGAGACAGAGUCUCAGUGUGUGUGGCCAGUGAAGGAUAGGGUGCUACCAGCCUUGAUAUAGCUAUAUGAAAGCUACCGCAGAAACACUGGACCCUCACACACCUGCUGACGUUCUCCUGGAGUAUCCCCGUCUGUCCACCAUCCACUGCCCUCUUGAUGGAGGCAUCCUGAUGCUCAGGAAUGCACCUCAGCUGGUGGUACUAUGUUUAGGUCAUUUCUCCAGGACGCUGAGGUGGAGAUCAGGCUGAGCCUUGCCCUGAGCUACUCCAUAUUGUAUAAACAAUGGUUUUUAUUAGGCUGUGCCUUCCUGAGAGAUGAACUCUGAUCCUAAGGCUUGACUUGAGGGCCUCCAGCAUGGUUUGUUAGCUAAUUCAUGCAGAGUUUACCUUUGCAUCUAGUCUCUACCUGCUUUCUGCUCACUUCUGUUAGCCUCCUGUUAGGCCUCUUUAGAAGCUGCUGAACUGGCUGCAGCCUCAUUAAUCCUUUAUGACCGCUUUGUAACUGACAUUCCUACAUGUGUGAAGGUGUAUUUACUGUGUGACGUAUAACGUGUGGUCUGAGAGCUAUUAUUGGUAAUUAAGACUGGAACACAUGAACCUGUGUCUGUCGCAGCCAGCUAUUGAGAGAAGUCAAGACUACUUGGUAAACUGAAGCCAACAGGACAUGACCCAGCCGAAGACCUGGGUUUGGUUCCCAGCACCCACAUCAGGCAGUUUACAAUUGCUUGUAACUCCAGUUCCAGGGGAUCUGAUGUCCACUUCCGGCCUAUGAAGGCUCCUGCACACACUUAGUGCACCAUAAACUCAUGUAGAGGAAUUCAAUAGGAAACACCACAAGCUGGGGGAGGAGAAUGAGCCCACAGGUCUCCCCUAGGAAAGAGAGCAGGGGCACAAAGGCAGUCCCGAAGGGAAAGAGCCUCAGCUCCCUUCAGUUCCUAGCACCCACGGAGAGUUAGUAUCAAGCACCAGGCAGCAUGACAGGCCCUGAAGGGAGUGAGAAACCCUCCAGUUCCCUCAGCUCCCUUCAGACCCAGGAAACAAAAGGGGGUUCCUUCCUUUUAUAGCUUCCCAGGGAAAUGGGGUGCUCCACACCACGUGACCCAGCCUGUGUGCUGGAAGCCGGGUGGCUAGUGAUAAAAGUCUAGCUAUAACUCAAGGCUGUCUUGGGUCUAAGGAGUGGGGAGGAGGAGUACUCUGGAGCGGCAAGGUCACACUCACACAGCACCACACUUGCUUAUCACUUCCGCAGAGGGAGGGCCUGCAGCGGGGUGGCGGCUAGAGGGUCUGUGACCUAACAUGUCUGUCUAUGUUUCUGAUAGUGCUUUCCUGACAUGGAGGUCCUAGCUCUUCCUGGGCAUUACCAAGAACUCAGGUGUGUGGAACUGGCUGGACAGGCUGAAGGGGCUCAAGGGUGAGCCUCACAGAAAGGAUACAUAGAAAAAGGUAGCCACUGCCUCCUCCUCCGAAUGCUGUUCUCUGAAGGCCCAGCUUGUGUGACACCAUCAGGACGAGAUGACCUGCAAAGAGACAGAUGCUGGAGUUCAGUUGCAGCCUUCUUGUUCGUGGUGACAGCAGUGUGAUUUUGAAACAUCACAAAGCAAGCAAACACGUGAAUGUUAAGAAUGAUGUCUUCCUCCGCCCCAGCAUUUUGUGGAAAGAGACACAGGUUAAAAAGAUGAUAAAUAAAAACUUUGAAACCUUGAA